rnacentral:pre_miRNA from 1 species
UAAGGCUCCUUCCUGUGCUUGCAGGGGAGAAAUACGAACUGCACGCAGGAACCGAGUCCACC